rnacentral:lncRNA from 1 species
CUGUUUGAAGUAAAUGAUUGUAUAGAAAUCUUGUCUUGUAUUUACUUUCGUGAUCAACUCUGAUGAUCAACAAAGCGUGCACGUCGUUUAAAACCCCUGCUAGGCUUUUGUGCUAUGGAUGAAUACAAACAGAUUGGUAAUUGAAGUAUUCAUGUAAAAUGUCGCCUGUUGCGCACCGAUAAAGCGUACCGAUGUAAAAAAAUCUUGAUUUUUCUCUAAAUUAAUGUCUUAUUAGUGUAUGUGACGGUUAAAUCCGACGUCGCAAAUGAGAACGAGGCUAUACCCAAGGUGACGUGCUUUCCGGAAAUGUGUAAUCCACUGUUGAAUGUCUAUGUGUGGAGAUGUCAAACACUCAACCUCUGCAUUCAACCUGCAAUUAAGGAACGACCACCCCCCCCCAAAAAAAAAAUAAUUGAAAAUUACAAGCCCAGACCCAGAAAGCCCAUUUCCAGCUAUUUCCAUCAAUAAUUUUGUUUUAAGUAACCAUGUGUAUAUUACCUGAUGAUAGGCAGAUAUAUUUCUGUGAAAUACAUGUCUAAGUGAAAAAUUAGUGAAGAUUCUUGCCG